rnacentral:rRNA from 1 species
GAUGAACGCUGGCGGCGUGCCUAAUACAUGCAAGUCGAGCGAACAGACGAGGAGCUUGCUCCUUUGACGUUAGCGGCGGACGGGUGAGUAACACGUGGGUAACCUACCUAUAAGACUGGGAUAACUUCGGGAAACCGGAGCUAAUACCGGAUAAUAUUUCGAACCGCAUGGUUCGAUAGUGAAAGAUGGCUUUGCUUUCACUUAUAGAUGGACCUGCGCCGUAUUAGCUAGUUGGUAAGGUAACGGCUUACCAAGGCAACGAUACGUAGCCGACCUGAGAGGGUGAUCGGCCACACUGGAACUGAGACACGGUCCAGACUCCUACGGGAGGCAGCAGUAGGGAAUCUUCCGCAAUGGGCGAAAGCCUGACGGAGCAACGCCGCGUGAGUGAUGAAGGUCUUCGGAUCGUAAAACUCUGUUAUUAGGGAAGAACAAACGUGUAAGUAACUGUGCACGUCUUGACGGUACCUAAUCAGAAAGCCACGGCUAACUACGUG